AAAGUCCAUUGCAAUGAAGGAGUAGCGAUCCACAUUGCCCCCGAGUCAUGCGCGGUCAACCGUGAGGCGUGUAGCGUUGACAGGGGAGCGUGUAGGCCAGCCAUUGAACCGCGAAACUGGCCAGGUUGCUCUCAGACACCAUAUCGUCUGUCGAGUUCCUUGAGAGCC
rfam:Pararhizobium polonicum strain F5.1 contig_20, whole genome shotgun sequence.